AACGAACGCUGGCGGCAUGCCUAACACAUGCAAGUCGAACGAGAUCUUCGGGUCUAGUGGCGCACGGGUGCGUAACGCGUGGGAAUCUGCCCUUUGGUUCGGAAUAACAGUUGGAAACGACUGCUAAUACCGGAUGAUGACGAAAGUCCAAAGAUUUAUCGCCAGAGGAUGAGCCCGCGUCGGAUUAGCUAGUUGGUGUGGUAAAGGCGCACCAAGGCGACGAUCCUUAGCUGGUCUGAGAGGAUGAUCAGCCACACUGGGACUGAGACACGGCACAGACUCCUACGGGAGGCAGCAGUGGGGAAUAUUGGACAAGGGGCGAAAGCCUGAUCCAGCAAUGCCGCGUGGGUGAUGAAGGCCUUAGGGUUGUAAAGCUCUUUUACCCGGGAUGAUAAUGACAGUACCGGGAGAAUAAGCUCCGGCUAACUCCGUGCCAGCAGCCGCCGCCG
rnacentral:rRNA from 1 species